rnacentral:rRNA from 1 species
UACGGGGGGGCAAGCGUUGUUCGGAAUUACUGAGCGUAAAGGGCUCGUAGGCGGCCAACUAAGUCAGACGUGAAAUCCCCAGGCUCAACCUGGGAACUGCGUCUGAUACUGGAUGGCUUGAAUCCGGGAGAGGGAUGCAGAAUUCCAGGUGUAGCGGUGAAAUGCGUAGAUAUCUGGAGGAACACCGGUGGCGAAGGCGGCAUCCUGGACCGGUAUUGACGCUGAGGAGCGAAAGCCAGGGGAGCAAACGGG